GGUCUGGUGGUCUAGUGGUAUGAUUCUCGCUUAGGGCUUUAACCCUAUGCAUUCCUGCGAGAGGUCCCGGGUUCAAUCCCCGGCCAGACCC
rnacentral:tRNA from 1 species